rnacentral:lncRNA from 1 species
CACCUUAUAGGCCCACUUCUUUGCUUGGAUCUAACCCUUUCUACUAGAACUAGUUGAAAGAAAAAGUCUGUUGCACGAACCCUUCAUGCUGAUUAGUAGGAAUCUUUCUAGAACACCAAGAAAAGAAAGAAGAACCCUUCUUCUUCUCUUUCUCUCUCUCUAAUCUCUCUUUCUCUCAAAUCUGAUCUAGAGGAAGUGGAGAGUGGAGAUGGAAUAAGGAGGAAAGGGCAUUGAGAUAUGACUUGCGGCA